GACGAACGCUGGCGGCGUGCUUAACACAUGCAAGUCGAACGGAAAGGCCCUGCUUUUGUGGGGUGCUCGAGUGGCGAACGGGUGAGUAACACGUGAGUAACCUGCCCUUGACUUUGGGAUAACUUCAGGAAACUGGGGCUAAUACCGGAUAGGAGCUCCUGCUGCAUGGUGGGGGUUGGAAAGUUUCGGCGGUUGGGGAUGGACUCGCGGCUUAUCAGCUUGUUGGUGGGGUAGUGGCUUACCAAGGCUUUGACGGGUAGCCGGCCUGAGAGGGUGACCGGCCACACUGGGACUGAGAUGCGGCACAGACUCCUACGGGAGGCAGCAGUGGGGAAUAUUGCACAAUGGGCGGAAGCCUGAUGCAGCAACGCCGCGUGCGGGAUGACGGCCUUCGGGUUGUAAACCGCUUUCGCCUGUGACGAAGCGUGAGUGACGGUAAUGGGUAAAGAAGCACCGGCUAACUACGUG
rnacentral:rRNA from 1 species